CAAAACAUUGUUAAAUGAAAUUAAAGAUGUACACAAAUGGGAAAGAAAUCCUGUCUUCAUAGACUGGAAGAGUUAAUGUUGUUAAGACUGCAAUACUUCCCAAAAUGAUCUAAAGACUCAAUCCAAUCCCCAUCAAAACUCCAACUGUCAUUUUCCAGAAACAGAUGAGCUGACCCUAGCAUUCAUAUGGAUUUGCAAGAAACACAGAAUAGCUGAAAUAAUUUUGACAAAAAGAACAAAGUUGGAGGACAGACAUUUCCCAAUUUCAAAAUACAGUACAAAAAUACAGUAAUCAAAACAGUGUGGUACUGACCUAAGAUUAGACAUAUAUACCAACAGAACAGAACUGGGAGUCCAGAAACAAACUCAUACAUUAUGACUCCCUCUUUAACUCUCU